AAGACUUUGAGGUAAGAGACGAUACUGUUAACAGUCAGUACGAGCUCGUGCUAAUCUUAAAAGUGAAAACUUAUGAACUCGACUUUUGAACUAGAUCCAGGCGAUCUGCCUGAUAAAAACAAAGGUAUGAAAAACGAUCACCAGAAAAACAGCAGACGAAGAGAUAGUGACAGCGAAGAUUACCCAUACUCCAAACAAGCCCGCAACGAAGAAACCGGCAGACAGAACACGGAACCACAACUUCACGCAUCAGAAACGCAAGUGCUGAUCUCUCAUCAACUAAGAAGUACUACAUAUUAAGACACACCAAAAUAUUCCUAAGGAAAACAAAACUAACAGAGAUAAUAUAAGAAAAGGGAAAGAAGAAAAAUAGAUCCAGGGGAUAUAGACUAUACAAGAGUCUAAAACCCUAUAAAAGAAGAAAGAAGAAGAAGAAG